GCCUCCCUGGCUUAGUCUGGUUAUAGCGCAAGACUCAUAAUCUUGAGGUCCGGGGCUCGAAUCCCCGGGGAGGCA
rnacentral:tRNA from 1 species